rnacentral:rRNA from 1 species
GGCUCGCAGGCGGUUUCUUAAGUCUGAUGUGAAAGCCCCCGGCUCAACCGGGGAGGGUCAUUGGAAACUGGGAAACUUGAGUGCAGAAGAGGAGAGUGGAAUUCCACGUGUAGCGGUGAAAUGCGUAGAGAUGUGGAGGAACACCGGUGGCGAAGGCGACUCUCUGGUCUGUAACUGACGCUGAGGAGCGAGAGCGUGGGGAGCGAACACGAUUAGA